GGCUCCGUGGUCAAGUGGUUAAGACAUCGCCCUUUCACGGCGGUAACACGAGUUCGAACCUCGUCGGAGUCACUA
rnacentral:tRNA from 1 species